UAAAACCCAUGGAUCAAACUUGUAAAAAUCAAUUUCACCAAUAAUUUGCAAAGAGAUUUGAUGACCAGUAACUCUCCUACAUAAAUACUGCACUAGAAGCUCCUCAUCGGUUCAUGAGCAGAACCGAAAACCCAAUGGUAAGCUCAAUUGAGCGAGCGGGUUAGUUUCUUGCACUCCCAAUUUUAGGCCUCAAUUUGUAAAGCAUGAGACAUAGGAAAACAGAGACUGAAGCAAAAAUGGAAGCUCUAAGUUACCACCGCUGCUGAAGCAAGCAAACAGAACUCUGUAUUUGAAGCAUUGCACUCAGUUGUCCUCAAUGAAAAUGGAAGAGAAUAAUAAUAAUAAUAACCAAGUGCCAAAUUUGUCGAAGCAAGUUUUAGUGAUUGCAAAAGGGCUUCUGGAAAAGAGAGGGAAAGGAGGAGGGAGAGAAAGGGAGAGUGAAAAAUAAAGAAUUUUAACCCUAAUUUAAUUAUAAAGGUAAAUUUGUCUUUUUUUCUAUCAUGAAUA
rnacentral:misc_RNA from 1 species